GCUGUUGGAGGGGGUGACUUAGAGUGCAUACUGGGAAGCAAGUUAUUUCUGGAAAGCCGUGAGGAAAAACAAGGCAGAGAUUAAAAGAUGGCCCUGAUUGCUUUUUCACUGAGAAGAUUUAAAAAAUCCAGUUCCAGCGUCCUCCACCACUUUUAAAGUAUUUCUGUCCCUACCAUCCAUUUCCCUGAACUGUUGUCAAGUACCUAAAGGACCAAGAGUCUCUUCCCCCUUCUAAGUUGCCAACCCUUGGCUUGCUGGCUUCAUGUUACCUCCCUCCAGACCACCUGGGCGGGAGAUGAUCUUUCUUUAUCCCUCCUCAAGCUGUUUCCCUUUUUCUCUCAGUCUCUUCACUGCCAGACUGCCCAAAUAUUUUAUACUUUAUCCUCCCUGAUCUCCUUGAUAAACUCAUUCUUUUCUCAGUCUUGUUUUUUUUUUCCUUGACCUCGCUGCCACAGGAGAAAAUUCUGACUCAAUUUCAUCUGUACAAUUCUUCCUUGACAUUGCCCUAGUAUAGUUCAGCCACCCCUUCUCCCUUGCUGGCUCUCCUUAUUAAGCCCUCUAUGUGAGUGGGUGUUUGCUCCAGAUUUUAUCCUCAACCUCUCUUUUCCCUUUACCUGCUGUCCUGGGACAGCACUUUACAAUCACCCAUCUCCAGCCUUGAUCUGCCUCAUAAGCUCUAGCUUUCCAUUCUGUCUUACUAGUAAGACAUUAUCAUACAGAGACUCAUUACCUCUAGUCACCAUGUCAAAAAAAAAAGUUCACAUUUCCUUUCAAAAUUGACUUUCCUCCCUUUCACUCCCUUAUUUUUAUCAGCACUACUUUAACUCCCAGCUACAGCUGCUACUUCUCCAUCCUUAUCUUUUUUAAGAUUUUAUUUUUGAGUAAUCUCUACACCCAACAUGGGGCUCAAACUCACAACCCUAAGAUCAAAAAUCACAUGCUCCAUCAACUAAAGCUGUAUGCUCCUCCAUACUCAUCUUUAACUUACCUAAAGGACUCUCAAGAAGCCUUUAUCAAAUUCCUCAAUUCUACUAACUUGUUUCCAUUGCCACCCAUCUACAUCCUUCCUAAGAUCGUUUUGCUAAUUCAACUGCCUUCAUUCACCGCAGAAUCAUUGGUAUUCCCCAGGAUUUUGUCCUCAGCAGUAUCCCUAAGGAUGCAGAUUGUCUUGUCCCUUUUUCAUUCAUCCUCCACAUGAAGUCAGAUAUCAAGUUCUAUUGAGUCUGACUUCCUCAUGUCCUAAUGAGGCUUUUUAACUUCUACAUCCUCAUCAUCAGUACCUUGAGAUAUUUCCAAGAUUAUAAUUGCUUCUCUUACCCCUACCAUGGCACCAAAUAAAUCUUCAUUCCCUUCAAAAGAUUGUUAUAAUUAAAUGAGAUAAUCCAUCUAAAGCACUCAACAUAAUGCCUGACCCAUGGUAAGAGCUAUUAUUAUCCACUGAUCAGAAAUAAUCAUGCAAAUAUCAAAUCAUGUUGUACACCUGACACUAACAUAAUGUUAUAUACCAAUUAUACCUCAGUUAAGAAAAAACUAAUUACUCCCCAUUACAAACAGCUUCAAAUCAUAACUCUCAGCUACAUGGUCUCCCCAGUGUAGCAACCCAUCAUAAUCCCCCAUCCAAACUCCAGACACUUUCACAUUUUCAGGGUGAAGUGAGCACAGUUCAUAUGUGCUUUUUCCUCUUCUGGAAUGCCUUUCUUUGUCCAAAGCCAUUCAAAUCCUCCCCUUUCUUCAAGUAACAAGAGAAGUCCUACUUUUUUGAUACCUUCUAGAUCUUGGCCUGCAUUCUUCAAUAUGUUGGAUUCAUGAUAGCAAGGAAUAUAGAUAUUUUAAGCUUCUUUUUUCAAAUCAGCACCUAAUCGUGGAUGUCCAAUAAGAUGCUGUAUUGUGCUACCAAAUGGUGGUAAACAGUGCUGCAUAUUCUUGACAUUGAAAGGUCCAGGAGCUGAAGAAUACGUUUUUCCUGAAUUAAAUAGUGGGUUUCUACAUGAUCUCAUAUCAAAUCAGACUAACUAAAUAAACUAAAACAACUUGCAAUUUCA